GUGCACAUGGUCCUAUGCACAAAACAGUUCCAUGAAAUCAGUGCUAACGGUUGGUCAAGUUCAGUAGUUUAAAAACAAACAAACUACCAAACGGAAUCCAUAGUUCUACCCUGGAGCUUGUUUGUGGGAACGUUUCCACUGAACAGUGCCUUUCUAAGUCGUAUAGAACCAAAUGCAGGCGAUGAUGGAAGUCCAGCGGUGGUAACGACAUAAU